rnacentral:rRNA from 1 species
UACGAAGGGGGCUAGCGUUGCUCGGAAUCACUGGGCGUAAAGCGCACGUAGGCGGAUUGCUAAGUCAGGGUGAAAUCCUGGAGCUCAACUCCAGAACUGCCUUUGAUACUGGCGAUCUCGAGUCCGGGAGAGGUGAGUGGAACUGCGAAGUGUAGAGGUGAAAUUCGAUAGAUAUUCGCAAGAACACCAGUGGCGAAGGCGGACUCACU